GCAGUGUAGCACAGUGGAUAAAGCACUGAGCUUGUAAACAAAAGGUCACAGGUUCGAUUCCUGAGCAGGCCACUGCG
rnacentral:tRNA from 1 species